rnacentral:lncRNA from 1 species
CUGCCAUGUCCACAGCCUGGGCUGCACUGGCCCCAGGCAGGCCUAGGCAGACUAAAGAUACCUCAGGCAUCUGGCCAGUCGUUUCCAAGAACCUGCUUCAGCUUGGGUAGCAAGAAGAUCAACAAUUCCAUCAACUAGCAAGAAAGGGACACCACCUACAGCAGAGUUCAAGGUCACAAUCUGCAAGCCAGGACUCAAAUCAAACAGGCCACCAGUAGAUUUCUGACUGAAGAAGGGGCUGGUGGGCAUGUCCUCUUCAUCUCCCCUCGUAUGUCAUGUCCAGCCAGAGGAUGGAGAAGAGAAAUGAGCUCAACGAGAAUAGCUCCACUAACUAAUCUGGCCAAACCAGUAGUGACCUCUUCUCCACUGACCUUUCCCCUUCUGGGGCUCACAUUUCCUCAAGGUCAUUUGGGACCACAAAACUGGAAAUAAGUUCCAGUUUCCUGCUAUCACCUCAGAAAGGCCUUUGGCUCAUCUCCAAUAGACUUUAAUUUGCCUCUUUGUAUCUAGGAAAGAAGGGAGGUCCCCCUCAUAACCUUAAUGGGGGUCAGUGGGAAGACAAUGAUCCAGCUUAACUGCGGGACCGUAAUGGCUAGGUGCUCUCACCUUGGGAAUCCAAGAUGUCAAGAUGCUGGGGAAGGAAUCCAGAGAUUCCUUAGGCCUGAU